UAAUUACUCUGUCAUUCCAAUUAGGUAGUCAUAUCAAUUUUGUAAUGUUCUUUCUAUCAUUUUUGUGUCCUUGUAAACUUCAUUUGAACAGCUAUUUUAAGAAGCUGCUUCAAAUAAUUUUUUGGAAAUAAGGUGGUCUUAACUCAUAGAGGGUCACAAUGACCAAUUUGUUAAGUAUGAAAUAUAAAGCACAGAGUUUCUUGUCAUAUUUUGAAUAAUUUCUUCUGAUACCCCUUAUAGAAAUCAUCAUAUUGGCUUCAAGUAUAUGUGAAUAAUAUGAGAUGAGAUACAAGUAAACAUCUAAUCCAGUGCUGACCACAGAAGAGGCACUUCAUAAACACUCAAUACGAUGAAGAAUAAGGACAUCUAGGGAGAGACAUAGAGUGGGUCAUUAGAAACCCAUGCCUGCAGCUCAGGAGAGAAGUGAAACUGAAGAUAUAGCUUUGGCAGUCAUCGACAUAUACACAAGUGUAAUGUAAGUCAUGGAAGUGGAUGAAAUCACAGUGAUAGAAUAUGGAGAAGAGGGCUGGAGAUAUAUGAUAAACCCAACCAACAACAUUCUUAGAAAAUAACGAUUUUUACUUUUCAUUGUAGUUGAGUCACAGCAAGAGAGAAGCAAAAAAGAAGCCUGGCUUGCUCAUGAAGUCGGGAUCUCGUGGGAUGUUACAAUGUGCUGGGUUUGAGAGCAGUAUGUGAGGUGACGUGCCGGACUCUGCCGCAAAAGAUUCAUUGCUGGGAGCAGGUGGGAGACCUGAAUCUCGCUGCUCCCUCCAGCUGGGCCUCAGGCUUGGGGAAUACCUGGGCUAUGGCAGGUGAAUCUGCUUUGCUGGUGAACAGUCUUCUCAGGGGCUGCCAAUCCAAUUACUUCUAUGAGUGCUAAGGUUUCACUAGUUACAAAAAACUCUAAAGUAAAUUAAAAAUUUGUUUAAAUUCAUAAAAUAUGACAGCUCUAAAGUAUUAUCAUAAUUAUCCUCUCCAAGUCCAUCUCUAAGACUAACCUUCCUACUUCCUCAAUGUGAGAUGAAUACCUGCUGUCACAUACAUGUUUUGUCCCUUCUAUAGUCUGGCUAGAUUUCUCAUGAAAAGAGGGAAAGAAAUUGUAUCCUUCUCUUGACCAAGUUCACCAUAUCCUCAGGAUUUCUUUGCAGAUGAACUAUUUAGUUAAUGCAGUUUCUAAGGCCC
rnacentral:lncRNA from 1 species